UGGGGAAUUUUGGACAAUGGGCGAAAGCCUGAUCCAGCAAUGCCGCGUGUGUGAAGAAGGCCUUCGGGUUGUAAAGCACUUUUGUCCGGAAAGAAAUCCUUGGCUCUAAUACAGUCGGGGGAUGACGGUACCGGAAGAAUAAGCACCGGCUAACUACGUGCCAGCAGCCGCGGUAAUACGUAGGGUGCAAGCGUUAAUCGGAAUUACUGGGCGUAAAGCGUGCGCAGGCGGUUUGCUAAGACCGAUGUGAAAUCCCCGGGCUCAACCUGGGAACUGCAUUGGUGACUGGCAGGCUAGAGUAUGGCAGAGGGGGGUAGAAUUCCACGUGUAGCAGUGAAAUGCGUAGAGAUGUGGAGGAAUACCGAUGGCGAAGGCAGCCCCCUGGGCCAAUACUGACGCUCAUGCACGGAAGCGUGGGGAGCAAACAGGAUUAGAUACCCUGGUAGUCCACGCCCUAAACGAUGUCAACUAGUUGUUGGGGAUUCAUUUCCUUAGUAACGUAGCUAACGCGUGAAGUUGACCGCCUGGGGAGUACGGUCGCAAGAUUAAAACUUAAAGGAAUUGACGGGGUCAUAGCUGUUUCCU
rnacentral:rRNA from 1 species